GAUGAACGCUGGCGGCGUGCUUAACACAUGCAAGUCGAACGGAGCUUAUGUGAUAGAGGAUUCGUCCAAUUGAUCAUAAGCUUAGUGGCGGACGGGUGAGUAACGCGUGAGGAAUCUGCCUUGGAGUGGGGAAUAACACAGUGAAAAUUGUGCUAAUACCGCAUAAUGCAGUUGAGUCGCAUGGCUCUGACUGCCAAAGAUUUAUCGCUCUGAGAUGACCUCGCGUCUGAUUAGCUAGUUGGGAGGGUAACGGCCUACAAAGGCGACGAUCAGUAGCCAGACUGCGAGGUUGGCCGGCGACAUUGGGACUGAGACACGGCCCAGACUCCUACGGGAGGCAGCAGUGGGGAAUAUUGGGCAAUGGGCGCAAGCCUGACCCAGCAACGCCGCGUGAAGGAAGAAGGCCUUAGGGUUUUAAAGCUCUUUCGCCAGGGAAGAUAAUGACGGUACCUGGAAAAGGAGCCUCGGCUAACUCCGUGCCAGCAGCCGCCGUAA
rnacentral:rRNA from 1 species